rnacentral:misc_RNA from 1 species
AACGCACAUUGCGCCACCUGGUAUACCGGGGGGCAUGCCUGUUCGAGCGUCAUUACAACCCUCAAGCUCUGCUUGGUAUUGGGCUCUGCCGGUCCCGGCAGGCCUUAAAAUCAGUGGCGGUGCCAUUCGGCUUCAAGCGUAGUAAUUCUUCUCGCUUUGGAGACCCGGGUGCGUGCUUGCCAGCAACCCCCAAUUUUUUCAGGUUGACCUCGGAUCAGGUAGGGAUACCCGCUGAACUUAA